UACGAAGGGGGCUAGCGUUGUUCGGAUUUACUGGGCGUAAAGCGCACGUAGGCGGAUCGUUAAGUCGGGGGUGAAAUCCUGGAGCUCAACUCCAGAACUGCCUUCGAUACUGGAGAGCUUGAGUUCGGGAGAGGUGAGUGGAACUGGCGAGUGUAGAGGUGAAAUUCGUAGAUAUUCGCAAGAACACCAGUGGCGAAGGCGGACUCACUGGCCCGAGUACUGACGCUGAGGUGCGAAAGCGUGGGGAGCAAGCAGGG
rnacentral:rRNA from 1 species